CAGUCCAAGUCAUGCGUCUCAUCUCCGUAUUUAUAAUCCUGGAGUGAUAAAAGGGUCGAAUUUCAUCUCAGAAUAAGACCACUUCACCCAACACUUCCAACCUACCAACACACAUCUCUCAUUUUUCUCUCGCACAAAACUUUCCUCGUAUUUACAAAAAAUCCUUCAAAAAUGGGUAUCAAAAAUUUCCUAAUUGUCAUCCUGGCCGUGACCCUCCUUGCCCUUCAAUGCCAAGCUGGUCCAUUUCCGGAAGAAACGAGAUGUCGGGGUGCCAACACAGGGCUGCUUUUGUCUGGAACGGUGUGCAAGGAAAAGUGCAGCAUGGCCGGUGUGGUGGCAUCCACGUGCCCGACAGGAAUGCAGUGCUGCAUGACCGUCGAGAACUUUAUUGAAAGGUUUCCACUCCCUUAAACCACCAAGAAAUUGAUAUGUUAAAGUUUUAUAAAGUUACACUAUUUAUUUAAUUUAUUAUAACUGGGGUCGAUUUUGUAUUUCUAAAAUAAAUUAAGUUUUAAAAUGUCUGCUUGGUAGAGUACGUUAUAGUCUUAAAUUUUAUGCCAGUAAUAUUCGACCAGCGUAUUUAUUUCGAAGCGACAAGGCAAUAAAAAGUUUUAGUGAGGGGAUUUUUUUGCGAUUUCGGCCAAGUCUUUAAAUUGGGGGUUAAAAAAAUAAAAGUUCGA